rnacentral:rRNA from 1 species
AGCAGCCGCGGUAAUUCCAGCUCCAAUAGCGUAUAUUAAAGUUGUUGCAGUUAAAAAGCUCGUAGUUGAACUUCGGGAUUGACCCAUCGGUCGUGCCUUAAGGGGUAUGAACUGGUGUAGUCAAUUUCUCACCUUCUGGAGAACCGCGAUGUCCUUAAUUGGGUGCCGCGAGGAACCAGGACCUUUACUUUGAAAAAAUUAGAGUGUUUAAAGCAGGCAUUUUUGCUUGAAUAUAUUAGCAUGGAAUAAUAAAAUAGGACGGCAUGAUUCUAUUUUGUUGGUUUCUAGGAUCACCGUAAUGAUUAAUAGGGAUAGUUGGGGGCAUUAGUAUUCAAUUGUCAGAGGUGAAAUUCUUGGAUUUAUUGAAGACUAACUACUGCGAAAGCAUUUGCCAAGGAUGUUUUCAUUAAUCAAGAACGAAAGUUAGGGGAUCGAAGACGAUCAGAUACCGUCGUAGUCUUAACCAUAAACUAUGACCGACUAGGGAUCGGACGAUGUUAAUUUUUAAUGUACUUCGUUC